UACGAAGGGGGGCUAGCGUUGCUCGGAUUUACUGGGCGUAAAGCGCACGUAGGCGGAUCGUUAAGUCGGGGGUGAAAUCCUGGAGCUCAACUCCAGAACUGCCUUCGAUACUGGCGAUCUUGAGUCCGGAAGAGGUGAGUGGAACUCCUAGUGUAGAGGUGGAAUUCGUAGAUAUUAGGAAGAACACCAGUGGCGAAGGCGGCUCACUGGUCCGGUACUGACGCUGAGGUGCGAAAGCGUGGGGAGCGAACAGG
rnacentral:rRNA from 1 species